CCAGAUCUAACUCUUCCAUAUGAC
rnacentral:miRNA from 1 species